GUUCCCGCAGUCGCAGAGACCAUCAAUGGGACUCCACAUUCCGCAACGGCCCUUUGAAUUUGAGCUUCGAGAUCAUCGAGCAUCAUUUUUCCGCGGGAAUCAACGCGCACGCUGUAAACAUUACUGGUUCCGAUUCCCAGAGAAUACUGGGGACACUUCGAAAGUGUAGACGGAAGGAUUCAGCGCGUCUGUCAACCAUUGGGCAGCCAGUCCGUAUGGAUCGAUGGACGAGUAUAGUUGAUUUAUGAAACGAGGAUGUCCUGUCUUCACGCUGUAACGAAUCACGCUCUUCGCUAAGGACAGCAGAUCCUCGUGCGUCAAGCCCUUGUCUUCCGGGUUCAGAUUUAUUGCGGACAGGAGGUCUAUUGGUGCCGUCCAUUCGACUACCCGAUUUUUCCUAGAUGUUCCCUGGAAGAAGAGCAUUAAAGAAUUCGAUUAUGCCGUCAUUUAAAUAACAAAUUUUUUUUAACGUACACAAAAGACAUCGAAAUCGCGAAAAAAUAUUUUGUAACAUUUAAAGUAUAAACUAAGAUAUUUGUGCGACUGUGAUUUCGUAGUCUGCAGAGAAAGUCGAUACAUUAUAUACUUUACGCUUACUACGCAGAUACACACUAUAUAAUGAAUUCAAUUUCAACAUCGUUGAUAUGGUCCGGUAUUAUAUCCUUAGAGGUUACUCUGCACCGAGGUAUUAAUUAGGUUUGCAUGCAAUCGAAGCGUAAUAUGAUAUAAUUUGGCAAACAACGAGUAUCCUAUGAAUAUGUGAAAUAGACAGAGGAGCAGAACAACAUAAUAUCUCAGGAUCCGGUUUAAAAUCAUUGUAUCUCAAGUUAACAUUUUGUUCGCCACUGCUGGGUACAUGAUUCUUGAGGGAAUAAAGAUGCACUUCAAUUUA